rnacentral:lncRNA from 1 species
AAACUUUUCUUUCUUUCGUCGAGUGCUGUUCGGCCGUUUAAGUCGUCACCAUUCCUCUGAAGGUUAUUCUUGUUUCCGUUGUGCAAUACCGUCCUAUAAAUUUUGACCUACAAUCGCAAAUCCUCUCAUCGAUAAAAUAGAACUUCCCGUUGUAAAUUUUAAUCAUUAUCUUGCAAGUUCGUCGGAGAUUCACCUUUUCUUGUGCAACGUACUUGGGAUCCUUGUUUUCACGAUCGGCUGCACUUUGGACGACUCGAAACCUGACGGACGUUUGGAUGAGUGUCGGGUGGAUCUUGAUGUUUCGUUAUUCAUGAUCAGGAAACGAAAAAAAGUGAACGAUAAAGUGCAUUUAUUGGUGUUUCGCGAUUCGCGGGAUUGUUUAUUUAUUGACUAAAAAUCGAUCGUUAGUUGGUUUACUAUCUACAUCAAUUUUAAUCUUUUUAAAUCCAGUGAUGUGACUGCAUAAAUUGUUCUAUUGUCCUCAGAAUUUCAUUCAUUCAAGUUUCAUCCAUUUCCCUUUUACACCCACCGCACAGUGAUACCACUCGCUUUUUUGUUCAGAAAAAGUCAAUACCUACGACCUCCAGGAAUAACUCAAGUGCUAUUUAUCGAGGUAAAAGGAAUUUAAAUUCAAUAAAAUUGGAAAUUCAGUGACAAGUGGUUACGAGCAAUUGUGAUUUCUAUCUUCGUGAAACAUCGAUUAUGGGUGAGUUUUUUUGUUUUGCUUCACAAAAUUUUAUUUCCAAGACCUGCAAUACAGGCUUAUA